CGAUGCCCAGCCGCGAAAUUGCAAACCACCGCUCACAGAUUUGUACCAGCCAUUGCGUUUCAGCUGCUCGCGGACUCCGUCGGACACCACCUGCUCCGAUCAGCCAUCAAAAGUUGCAAAAUUGAGUCUAUUUUAUAAGAGAGAAAUGGUGUUUGGGGAAGAAGAGCUUUUGUUUCACGUUCCAGAAAGAGAGAAUUUAUUCUCUUGUUCUUCUUUACUAAUCUACAAUAUAAGAAAGUUUUAUGUUCUGGAAAGUACUUAAUUGCCCCUUUGUGUUCUGCCUCAGCCACGUGGAUGCAUUGGUUGUGUUUCUAUGCUCAUUCAUAUUUCCUUUUCUCACUCACUUCACGUUUCCUUUGUCUUCAACCUUCUCUCUCUCUUUUCUCUUUCUAUCAUGACUAUUGUCUUUCUCCUUCCUCUUCAUUAACCUUCUUCCUCUUCCUCAAGCUUCAUUCUGACACAACAUCGUCACCAUGAUCUGGUAUGGUUUGUUUGCUCAACCUAUGGAAUUUGUGACUUCUAUGUUGUUUAUUAACAUGAUUAUUUUUUUCAGAUCUAAUGCUUCCAUGGUAGGGUUUUGAUUUCGUUGUCUGUGUGGUCGGAGUUGAAUCACAUACGACGAAGAAGACGCUGAUUUUCCUCAGAUUUUAGAGGUCGGAUUUUUACUUUAUUAUUUUAUUUUCAUUUCAAAAUCUCCAUAUCUUUCAGUUUUACCCUUUUUAGAUCUGUAAGCGUUCAAUCGCAGAUAUCCAGAGCGGUUCGUUGAUCGAACCUUUUCAGAUCCCCUUUUCAUAUGGUCACUACUAUCCAUACCAUUGAUCUGUAGCGGCAUCAACGGGUUACCGACGAUUAGUGUGGUGGGGGUGGAAAUGGGUUUCCGACGACGAGUGUGGUGGUGGUCCGAUUCGAAAAGGUUUAUGUAUGACAUUUUCAAAUUAGGUUUCGUUAUUAACUUUCUUUUGUAGAAAGUGCAGGAUUUGAACUAAUUAUUAUAGAUCUGAUAUUAUUAUUAUAAAUCUCAAAACUCGCUCAUUUGGUGAUGGAUUUAUCUUAUGUGUUCGAUCACGGUGGCCGCCGGUGAUUAAUUAGAAUCAAGACAGCAGGCUAUCAGGAAUAAAUUUAAGUCGACUCCAGAUAAACAAGCACCAAGUAUUAGAGAGGGUUCCUCGUGCUGAAUUGGACGAUGCCAGACACUGGAGGGCAGUUACCUUUGGGCGGCAUGGUAGACGAUCCGGUUGAUCGUAACUAAUACAGGAAAAGGUUUGCAGAGUUUUUGAAUGGUGAGACUUGCUUCUUUUAUCUAAAACAGUGGCUGGAGCUAUUUACUUCAGGUAUUAAAAUUUUGAACAUCUAAGGCUUAGAGUCCGAGUUUUGGAAUUCGAGAGAGCAUUCCAACGCGUUUUGGAAAGGUAUUAAUUGAUAUAAGGCUUAGAGUCCGAGUUUUGGAAUUCGAGAGAGCAAUCCAACGCGUUGCGACUGUGCAGAAAACAAUUUUUGUUGUACAAUCACAACGAAUUCUAUCCAUCUUAAAGUUGUGGUUUUUCUAAUGGUUUUGAUCUCAAUGGAUUUACAUUUGCUUAUGGUUUAUGGUCUAUUUUGUGUUUUGUUGGGUUUUGCAGAAUGUUCGACGAGAUUGUUCCGGCGAGAUUUCGAUUAUUGUGGUUCAUUCUAUCGUCGGUGGUGCGAUGGGGAAAAAAGGGGUGACUCUGAUGUGCACAGUGGUGGUAUAUAAAAUGAUAUUGAAAAUGAUAUUGUAGUUCAAAACUAUUGUUAAUGAAAAUGAUAUUGAAGGUUGAUGAAGGAGAUGGUUGUGUAGGUUUGAAUGGUGACCAUAUGUUAAAGAUGGUGAGUUAUUACUACUAUCAUAUGUUUAUGAUGGAUAUGUUUUUUUUACGACGUGUGCAGUUUUGCGAUGGUAUAUCUAUGGUGGCGGCUAAACGUUUCCGGCGACGAGAGUGGCUGUGGAUGGAUUCGAAAUGGUUGAAGUGUUUUAUCAACUAAAAUUACAAUGGUAUAAGUUAUAAUUUUCAAUAAUGAGUUAUGAGAAAAUUUCAAUUCUGUUUAAUGUUUUAGAGUUUUAGUCAUUUAAAAAUUUCAAUUCUGUUUAAUGUACCAUGUGAGGGUCUGUGGAUAUUGCCCUGAAAUUCAUGUUGGUCCCAACGGAACCAAAGCUCAAAACUGUGGGGCACACAAACACCAACAACGCAAUGGGCAGCAUGGUUGGCAAUCUGCAGUGCUCAAUGACUUAAUACCGCCGAUAUUUGUGUGGCAUGUUCCCGAUGUAAACGGACCACCGCUAGAACGAGAGCUUAGGAAUUUCUAUGGACAGGCUCCAGCUGUAGUUGAAAUAUGCAUUCAGGCUGGUGCUGAGUUACCAGAACAAUAUAAAUCAACCAUGCGCCUUGAUGUUGGGAUCCCUUCAACUCUUCAAGAAGCUGAAAUGGUAGUUUGAGAUUUAGUGUGUAAAUUGCAUGUUGUAUGUAGAAGGUCAAAAGAAUAGCCAUUAUGCGGUUGCUGGGGUAUUUUUUCCAGUUCAACUGAACACACUUUUUAUGUGGUCAACUGUUAGUAUAUGGCAGAAGAUCCAUGUGUUGUAAAAGAAGGACAUGGUUUUGAUGUAAUAGAGAAGAAGAAAAUAGAGGAUAUAAGAUUGUUUUUUAUGAAUGGAGUAAGGAAUUAAGGAAUGGAGUGUGAUAAAAAGUAGAUGGUUCCAUCUAUAUUCCCAACAUAAUGUUAGCAAUUAAUAAUAAUAUGAACAUUGGCCUUUAAUAAAAUUGUAUAAUGUAUAGAAUUAAAAAACAAUUUCAUUUAUAUGAGUAGAUGCAACAAUUUCAUUUAUAUGAGUAGAUGCCUUCAAUUCAAUGAUUAAGUUGGGAAUGACUCAUAUGUUGGUAUCAUCAACUAUAACAGAUUUAUUUAAUUCUUUUAAAAUUUAGAGUGUAAUGAUAAAAUUCACACUGAGUGAUGAGGCUUCAAUCUG